rnacentral:tRNA from 1 species
GCCUACGUAGCUCAGUGGUAGAGCACUUCCUUGGUAAGGAAGAGGUCGCCGGUUCAACCCCGGCCGUAGGCC